rnacentral:rRNA from 1 species
GUUGUAAUUUGUAGAGGGCACUUCGGGCGCGCGACCGGCCUAAGUUCCUUGGAACAGGGCGUCAUAGAGGGUGAGAAUCCCGUACGUGGCCGGCCGUCACCCCGUGUGAAGUCCCUUCGACGAGUCGAGUUGUUUGGGAAUGCAGCUCAAAAUGGGUGGUAAAUUCCAUCUAAAGCUAAAUACCGGCCAGAGACCGAUAGCGCACAAGUAGAGUGAUCGAAAGAUGAAAAGCACUUUGAAAAGAGAGUCAAACAGUAUGUGAAAUUGUUGAAAGGGAAGCGCUGGCAACCAGACGUGCCCGCGGGCGAUCACCCGGCCUUCGGGUCGGCGCACUCGCCCGCGAUCAGGCCAGCAUCGGUUUCGGCGGCCGGACAAAGGCGCGCGGGAACGUAGCUUCCUUCGGGGAGUGUUAUAGCCCGUGCCGCAAUGCGGCCAGCCGGGACCGAGGACCGCGCUAAUGCUAGGAUGCUGGCGUAAUGGUUGUCAGCGACCCGUCUUGAAACACGGACCAAGGAGUCUAACAUCUAUGCGAGUGUUUGGGCGUAAAACCCAUGCGCGGAAUGAAAGUGAACGGAGGUGGGAGCCUCGGCGCACCAUCGACCGAUCCUGAUGUCUUCGGAUGGAUUUGAGUAGGAGCAUAGCUGUUGGGACCCGAAAGAUGGUGAACUAUACGUGAAUAGGGUGAAGCCAGAGGAAACUCUGGUGGAGGCUCGCAGCGGUUCUGACGUGCAAAUCGAUCGUCAAAUUUGCGUAUAGGGGCGAAAGACUAAUCGAACCA